rnacentral:sRNA from 1 species
UGUUUCAUUUCUCUUUAUUUCAGAGAUUUGAACAAUAAUGCUAUAAUGUCUAUCCAAGAAAAUGCUUUUUCUCAGACUCAUUUAAAAGAACUGAUUCUGAACACAAGCAGUUUGCUCUGUGACUGCCAUUUGAAGUGGCUACUUCAAUGGUUGGUUGAUAAUAACUUUCAACAUUCUGUGAAUGUAAGCUGUGCACACCCUGAAUGGCUAGCAGGGCAAAGCAUCCUGAAUGUGGAUCUGAAAGAUUUUGUCUGUGAUGAUUUUCUCAAGCCACAGAUAAGGACACAUCCUGAAACCAUAAUUGCUCUAAGAGGCAUGAAUGUGACUCUGACGUGCACUGCAGUGAGCAGCAGUGAUUCACCCAUGUCCACUGUGUGGCGCAAAGACAGUGAAAUCCUGUAUGACGUGGAUACUGAGAAUUUUGUUCGUUAUUGGCAGCAAGCUGGAGAAGCUCU